rnacentral:rRNA from 1 species
GAUGAACGCUGGCGGCGUGCCUAAUACAUGCAAGUCGAGCGAACAGACGAGGAGCUUGCUCCUCUGACGUUAGCGGCGGACGGGUGAGUAACACGUGGAUAACCUACCUAUAAGACUGGGAUAACUUCGGGAAACCGGAGCUAAUACCGGAUAAUAUAUUGAACCGCAUGGUUCAAUAGUGAAAGACGGUUUUGCUGUCACUUAUAGAUGGAUCCGCGCCGCAUUAGCUAGUUGGUAAGGUAACGGCUUACCAAGGCAACGAUGCGUAGCCGACCUGAGAGGGUGAUCGGCCACACUGGAAAUGAGACACGGUCCAGACUCCUACGGGAGGAAGCAGUAGGGAAUCUUCCGCAAUGGGAGAAAGCCUGACGGAGCAACGCAGCGUGAGUGAUGAAGGUCUUCGGAUCGUAAAACUCUGUUAUUAGGGAAGAACAAAUGUGUAAGUAACUAUGCACGUCUUGACGGUACCUAAUCAGAAGGCCACGGCUAACUACGUG